AAAGACCGAAUUCUUCGGUUUUCGUAUCUAACGUUUGACCGUCCGUCUUAUAUGAAAUUUUUUUAUGAUUAGUAUUUUUAUUAUUGUUAGAUGAUAAAACAUGAAUAAUACUUUAUGCAUGACUUAUCUUUUUAAAUUUUUUUCAUAUUUUUUUCAAAUAAGAUGAACGGUCAAACGUUAGAUACGGAAACUCAGGAAUUGAGUUUUU
rfam:Oryza barthii chromosome 12, whole genome shotgun sequence.